rnacentral:sRNA from 1 species
CCUUGACAUUGCGGACUUCUAACAUUAUUUCUCCGUGAGCGAUCUUCAAGCCUGGAAGGGACUUACGGCUCUGUGUGUGUUUCCCUUCUUCAGCAUUUCUGGAUUAAAAGUGGUGGGGGAGCCCCUUUCUCCAGCCUUUCACCUACAACUGGAAGAGAGCACUGGGUCUCGCGAGCAAGAUGUCAGACUGCUUCAGGAAAUUGUAGAUCAAUGCAUGAACAGAAGUAUUGCAUUAACUCAGGCACGCUACUUGGAGAAAGAAGAGAAGUGUCUCCCUCCUCCCAGCAUUCGGGUUGUGGUCACUGUGGAACAAACAGAGGAAGAACUGGACAGAGCUGCGUCCACCAUCAAGGAGGUAGCGCAGGCCGUCCUGCUCUAGGCAGAGUCCCGGGACCAUGGCCUCCUGCCACACGACACGCAGAGAGGACUCAAGACUCCCGCUGGCCAUGGAGGGGCCUGAAAGAGAGCAAGAACAUGUGGAUAUUUGAUA